rnacentral:lncRNA from 1 species
AAGUUGUUUUUAGUUAUUGCUCGGUUACUAUUAAUCAACCUUUACACACAAUACACUGCAUACGUACAUCAGCUAGUUGAAGUAAAGGUGCUAUUGCAAAGCUUCGCAGCACGCCACAGUUGUCAACCACUUCCGUUCGCGACACGCGGACUCCCGCGCUUUAUUAAAGGAAGCUACCCUGGCACCAAGAGGCAAUAUGCCGUUUCAGGUGAGGAACAUUGUGUAUGGCAGGGAGAACGAUGCCGCUUCGGACACCUUAGGGACUGCUCGCGCAUGCUCUGCUAGCGAGCUGCUAUGCUUUGCUCUGACUGCUGUUUGGAACUGCCUUGGUGACCCACGACAGCCUGCCUGGCCUUACAAAAGGCCAUUCUAUCAAGCAUCUCUGACCAAGCACGAGAUUCAGGUACGUAAACGACGCCGGCGGGUCCCGUAGCCAGGCAAGGCGGCCGGACGGACGGGUACAUUGAUAGUACAUCUCCAAUUGCCUAAUUAACACUUAGAUGCUGGGAAGCCCAUCGCAUGUAUUACUUGCGUUUUAAAGGGUGCAGGGCUGACCAGCUGUGUCGCUAUUGCUCCUUGUGUCCUCGGUGCGUAGGCGGAUCUUUCCUACAUACUUUCACAGACGAAACGAGAACCGCGACAGCCAGGAAGAUUUCAGGACCAGGCCCCUGGGUCCCAACGAGAUGGGAAAUAGGCAUGUCCCAAGUGGCAACUGCGCCACGCCAACGUUUGAGUUUCAUGCAUAAUGUACAGAGUCUACGUAAUGGAGGUUACUGGAUUUUCGUUUUCAACUUAGCCAUCCCUGUUCGCUUCAAUAGGGUGUGGUCUUUGCGUCGAAGGCCAGCCCAAACUUGAUUUUUUUGACGAUGAUUGAUUCGCAUUUACUUGACUGGAUCUUCGAUAGUGUGUAACGUUGUUUGCCUGUGGUUCGAGGAACUGCCGUGUGUUUGGGCGUAUGGAAGGCACGCGAACAGGGCGGGCGGGAUCGCUUGCUUUCAAAUCUACUGGCGCUUUAUCGCUCAAUGUUAAGCUUUGUAAUAUUACUUGUGUAAAAUCACACUCCUGCUUUCCUCGAAAACAUAUCGGAAAAAGGCUGACGGAAGGAACAUUCAACCUUGCAUUGUCCAGCCGUACUUUCGUCGUACAGCCAUCACCGCCAGCAACGCACAUAUGCCAAAGUUACGUAAUGCGGUCGCAGCGUUGCAAGCAAGCACCGCAAUCUACGCUCUGCAAACCGAACCACAACUCAUCGUAAAUAAAACGCCCUCCGCCGAGCAGCACGCCGGGUUGCUC